CGAUUACCCUGAGUAUGCUCC
rnacentral:miRNA from 1 species